rnacentral:rRNA from 1 species
AGAGUGACAGGUGGUGCAUGGUUGUCGUCAGCUCGUGUCGUGAGAUGUUGGGUUAAGUCCCGCAACGAGCGCAACCCUUGAUCUUAGUUGCCAGCAUUCAGUUGGGCACUCUAAGGUGACUGCCGGUGACAAACCGGAGGAAGGUGGGGAUGACGUCAAAUCAUCAUGCCCCUUAUGACCUGGGCUACACACGUGCUACAAUGGAUGGUACAAAGGGCUGCAAACCUGCGAAGGUAAGCGAAUCCCAUAAAGCCAUUCUCAGUUCGGAUUGCAGGCUGCAACUCGCCUGCAUGAAGCCGGAAUCGCUAGUAAUCG